UUACCUUUUGGAAAGACACUUGGUCCAAAGAGAAGCGCUUCUGUUUGAAGCCAGGCAAGUUGUCAGACUAUUCAGGACAAGCUGUCACUGACCGCCUGUCAGACGACGCUCCCUUUGCCGCGGUUCCUUUCAAAACUUUCAAAGGGGCGUUGUAACCGGAAAACACUGGGCUUGACUUGCUACUGUGUCGGAGGAUGCAUGUUUCAAAAGGAAGCGGGGCGUGGAGGGGCUGCAUCCUUUGAAAGACCUGGUCUACCCUGUUGAUGUGACCUGGGACCUUUGUUGACUGCGAAGACCAGAGUAAAAAUAAAGACAGACAACAGCAAGCCUGCCAAAACAUGACCAUGCACCUAAAUGGGCGAGGAAACAGAGCAGCAGCCAGAAAGGCCUUGGUAACACUGGGGGACCAACACAGAUCUCCAGCUCAGAUAUGAUGUUGUGACUGCAUCAUGCUGUGGGGAUGCUUUUCUAAGCAAGGAAAAGGAAGCUGAUCAGAGUUGAUGUGAGGACAGAAAGAGCUAAAUAUGGAGGCAGAAGAGUACCAUCUAGAAAAACAUUUUUAUGUUAUAAUGGCCCAGUCAAUGUCCAGACCUGAAUCAAACUUAGAUUCUGUCGCCUUGAGUUCUUUUUUUCUGUGUGAAAAAAUACUCAAAUUUGCAGCUGUAGUUGCAGCAAACGGCGGUUCUAGAGAAUCGACUCUGGGUUUUCAGAGCCGAUGCUCCAGCUAUUCUUUAUUCAAUAAUUCUUUGUUUAAACAAAGAGCUAAGCAUUUAUCAUUUUCCUUUCUCUUCACAAUUGUGCUUUGGUUUACCUUGAAUUAUAACAUUAAAUAAUUUUUUCAAGACAUUGUACAGUAAUGCAUUUCUACUUAAACUCAACUUAAUUGAAUUGCGUUUGGUACGUUGUUACUAAACUCAUCCAACCCGUGCAGCAUCAUCACAUCAAUCAGGUGUUUUUCACCCACUAUGCCCCAUGUGACAUCCUGCUGCUUCCAUGAUGGGCCUUUUGCAACACUCUGCCCAGAACAUGUCCCUCAUCAUGCAAAUCAUGCAGAUGUACAUGAUGUUUCAGAAAUGACACCUUAGACCUCCCACAACCCCUGGGUGAGAUUUUCCUCCUCUCUGCCAGUGGUGCCGCUUUAAUCUUUAUUUCUUCGUGUCUGUCCUCCCAGGACCUAUAAUAUACUGUCUCAAUUCUUCUUUUUUGCCCAUUUUCUGCUAAUUCACCACCAUCUGCCUUGGCAUCUGUUUGAGAGGAGAAACUAGGAGAAAAAAAAAUCUGGAGGUCUGUUCUUUUUCUUCUUGCUCUUCUUUCUUCACGUUUUUUGUUUCUGCUGAACCAAAACUUCCACCCUAACUUGUUUUUCUU